rnacentral:rRNA from 1 species
CGGCAACAGCUCAAAUUUGAAAUCUGGCUUUGGCCCGAGUUGUAAUUUGCAGAGGAUGCUUUAGGUACGGUUUCGGUCUAAGUUCCUUGGAACAGGACGUCAUAGAGGGUGAGAAUCCCGUCUGCGACCGUGUGCCUGUGCCUGUGUAAAGCUCCUUCAAC